UGUUUAUAGGCUGUUGAUUUUUCUAAUAAAACUGUCACAAUCAAGAUGUGUGCCAAAGGACUUUCUGCUUAUUCAGGUCAAAGUCAAAGCGAGUUAGAGUAGGGUUCUUUGCAUGAAAAAUUGUGUACCAAAUUAGAGUGAGAUUUGAAAGAAUUAACUGCAGAUGCUGCACCUUGCUUUGCUGGGAAAAUGUUGCCAUAAAGAGACAGUUGAAAGCUGACCAAGAUUGCACACAUCAAGAGCACAUACUAAUGAUUUGCAAAACAUACUUAAUAUGGCAUGGAUAUCGAUCCAUAUUCUUUGUCAUUCCUUGGUCAGAUUUCCCGCUGAUGUUGGACAAGGUUGCUUCAAGCCUUCAACUUCCUUUCUUUCAGUUUUGGCAGAAUUUUCUCCCUUGUGUCUUCAUUGUAGACCAAAUCAGAACAUGUACAUAUAUGAAGCAGUCACCAAAAGAUAUAACAGCAGUACUUUCAGCACCAAGCUCAGUCUCACUCCUCUGGUAAUUCUACUUGAAAGUGCGAGUGCAUAUCUGUCUUUACUGCAUAGGGGCACACAUUAGUAUCUAAAAUGAAGAGGCCGGUAGAUAUUUUAUAUUUAGCUUUAUCCAAGCAGUUAGCUGAGCUUAACCGGGCUAAGCUGUUCACUGUUAUCCUUUUCAUUGAG